rnacentral:rRNA from 1 species
GAUGAACGCUAGCGACAGGCCUAACACAUGCAAGUCGAGGGGCAGCACAAGGAGCAAUCUGAGGUGGCGACCGGCGCACGGGUGAGUAACACGUAUGCAACCUGCCUUCAACAAGGGGAUAACCCGUUGAAAGACGGACUAAUACCCUAUAACACAGGGGUCCCGCAUGGGAAUAUUUGUUAAAGGACAACCGGUUGAAGAUGGGCAUGCGUUCCAUUAGCUAGUUGGCGGGGUAACGGCCCACCAAGGCAACGAUGGAUAGGGGAACUGAGAGGUUUAUCCCCCACACUGGUACUGAGACACGGACCAGACUCCUACGGGAGGCAGCAGUGAGGAAUAUUGGUCAAUGGACGCAAGUCUGAACCAGCCACGUCGCGUGAAGGAAGACGGCCCUACGGGUUGUAAACUUCUUUUAUACGGGAAUAAAGUGCCCCACGCGUGGGGUUUUGCAUGUACCGUAUGAAUAAGGAUCGGCUAACUCCGUG